rnacentral:rRNA from 1 species
UCAAGCUACCAAGGGCGCAUGGGGGAUGUCUUGGCGUUAGGAGGCUUUGAAGGGCGCGGAAGGCUGCGAUAAGCCCGGGGAAACCGUCAAACAGGUGAUGAUCCCGGGAUUCCCGAACCGGUCUGCACUGAAUUCAUAGGUGCAGGCAGCGAACGCGGCGAACUGAAACAUCUUAGUAACCGCAGGAACAGAAAGAAAAAUCGAUUUCCUCAGUAGCGGCGAGCGAAAGGGAAAUAGCCCAAACCGUGGUGGUUUCCACCGCGGGGUUGUAGGGCCCUCCACCGGAGUUAUCAAACAGCUGGCUAGCGGAACGAUCUGGAAAGGUCGUCCACAGAGGGUGACAGGCCCGUACGCGAAAGCUGACUGUCUCUGGAGGGUACCCUGAGUAGGUCGAGGCACGUGAAACCUCGACUGAAUCGACGGGGACCAUCCCGUAAGGCUAAAUACUCCCUAACGACCGAUAGUGAACAAGUAGAGCGAUUGAAAGAUGAGAAGAACCCCUGCUAGGGGAGGAAUGUGAACCUGAAACCAUGUGCCUACAAGCGGUCGGAGCGCUAUGGCCUUCGGGCAAUGCGUGACGGCGUGCCUUUUGCAUAAUGAUCCGGCGAGUUACCGUCAGCGGCUUGGUUAAGGCUCUCAGGGCCGUAGCCGAAGGGAAACCGAGUCUGAAUAGGGCGAUUGUGUCGCUGGUGGUAGACGCGAAACUGCACGAACUACCCAUGAGCAGGUUGAAUCGCGGGUCAAACCGCGUGGAGGACCGAACCCACUUGGGUUGAAAACCGAGGGGAUGACUUGUGGGGAGGAGUGAAAGUCUAAUCAAGCGCAGAGAUAGCUCGUUCUCUCCGAAAUAGCUUUAGGGCUAGCCUCGAGUUACUGCAUGGCGGGGGUAGAGAGACUGAUUUGGAUGGGGGCCCUUCCCGGGUACCCCACCGAGCCAAACUCCGAAUACCGUCAUGUCUAUCUCGGGAGUCAGUCCGCGAGGGAUAAGCUUCGCGGUCGAGAGGGAAACAACCCAGACCACCUGCUAAGGUCCCCAAGCAGUACUCAGUCACUAAGGAAGUCGAGUUGCAGUGACAGCCAGGAUGUUGGCUUAGAAGCAGCCAUCAUUUAAAAAGUGCGUAACAGCUUACUGGUCGAGCAACUCCGCGCCGAUAAUGAACGGGAGUCAAGUACUGCACCGAAGCAGUGGAACACGCUUGCGUGUUGGUAGGAGAGCGCUGUACGUCAGAUACAAGUCGCACCGUGAGGAGCGAUGUCGGGGCGUACAGGUGAUUAUGCCGGAAUGAGUAACGAUAAAGCAGGUGAGAAUCCUGCUCGCCGAAAGCCUAAGGUUUCCUGGGGAAGGUAAAUCCGCCCAGGGUUAGCCGGUUCCUUAGUCGAGGCCGAAAGGCGUAGACGAUGGGUAGCAGGUCAACAUUCCUGCGCCAUGUGCCGGACUGAUGGAGGGACGGCGUCUGGAAGGUGAGGGGACGGAUAGAAAUGUCCCUCGCCUGUGUGGAAGGUAGCUGUAGGCAAAUCCGCAGCGACAUCCGGAAGCACGGGACAAAGACGCUUAUGUUUCGAUAGUCAUCCGAAGGACGUCCAAGAAAAGCUUCUAGGGUUGAUGGCACAUGACCGUACUAAAACUGACACAGGUAGGCGGGACGAGUAGUCCUAGGCGCUCGGGAGAACACUGGUUAAGGAACUCUGCAAAAUGGCCCCGUAAGUUCGCGAUAAGGGGUGCCCCCUGUGGUUCACGCUGCGGGGGGUCACAGUAAAUCGGCAUCAGCGACUGUUUAUCAAAAACACAGGACUCUGCGAACUCGUAAGAGGAUGUAUAGAGUCUGACGCCUGCCCGGUGCUGGUAGGUUAAGGAAGAGGGUUAGCCGCAAGGCGAAGCCCGCGACCGAAGCCCCAGUAAACGGCGGCCGUAACUAUGACGGUCCUAAGGUAGCGAAGUUCCUUGUCGGGUAAGUUCCGACCUGCAUGAAUGGCGUAACGACUGAUGCACUGUCUCAACCAGUGACCCGGUGAAAUUGUAGCCGUGGUGAAGAUGCCACGUACCCGCAGUAAGACGGAAAGACCCCGUGAACCUUUACUGUAGGCUGAUAUUGGUCUCGGAUGUGUUCUGUGUAGGAUAGGUGGGAGGCUUUGAAGCGAUGACGCUAGUCAUCGUGGAGCCAACCUUGAAAUACCACCCUGGAUUCGUUUGAGUUCUAACGCUGAUUCCCGUGAAUCCGGGCAGCGGACAGUUUCAGUUGGGCAGUUUGACUGGGGCGGUCUCCUCCAAAAGAGUAACGGAGGAGUUCAAAGGUACCCUCAGCCUGGUUGGCAAUCAGGCAUCGAGCGUAAAGGUAGAAGGGUGCUUGACUGCGAGACCCAUGAGUCGAGCAGAUACGAAAGUAGGACUUAGUGAUCCGGUGGUCCCGAAUGGAAGGGCCAUCGCUCAUCAGAUAAAAGGUACUCCGGGGAUAACAGGCUUAUCGCUUCCGAGCGUCCAUAGCGGCGAAGCGGUUUGGCACCUCGAUGUCGGCUCAUCACAUCCUGGGGGUGGAGAAGCUCCCAAGGGUUUGGCUGUUCGCCAAUGAAAGUGGUACGUGAGCUGGGUUCAGACCGUCGUGAGACAGGUCGGUCCCUAUCUGCUGUGGGCGUACGAAACUUGAGGGGAUUCUUCUUUAGUACGAGAGGAUUUGGAAGGACGUUCCUCUGGUGUUCCAGUUGUCGCGCUCGCGGCACGGCUGGAUAGCUACGAACGGAAAGGAUAAACGCUGAAAGCAUAUAAGCGUGAAGCCCGCCCCGAGAUGAGGUUUCGUAGGGCUGAUGCCCGAAAGUCCCCUGGAAGACGACCAGGUUGAUAGGCCGGAUGUGUACGUGCAGCAAUGCAUUCAGCUAACCGGUACUAACGGACGAACGCUUGACCAC